GACGGGGGAUGCGAGCGUUAUCCGGAAUGAUUGGGCGUAAAGCGUCCGUAGGUGGCUUUUCAAGUCUGCCGUCAAAGACCGGGGCUUAACCCCAGAAAGGCGGUGGAAACUGAAUAGCUAGAGUGCAGUAGGGGUAGAGGGAAUUCCCGGUGUAGCGGUGAAAUGCGUAGAGAUCGGGAAGAACACCCGUGGCGAAAGCGCUCUACUGGACUGCAACUGACACUCAGGGACGAAAGCUAGGGGAGCGAAUGGG
rnacentral:rRNA from 1 species